rfam:Klebsormidium nitens mitochondrial DNA, contig: KFL_3731.
AAUGAGUUUGAUCCUGGCUCAGAAUGAACGCUGGCGGUAUGCCUAACACAUGCAAGUCGGACGCUGUGCUCUUUUGCUUUAUGCAAUUGCAUUCGGCGCAAAGAGGCACGGGGUGGCGAACGGGUGAGGAACGCGUGAGAAUCUACCAAGCAGACGGGGUCAAUCCCCCCUAGCCUUCUUGAAUCGAGAAGAAAAAAGCUUCAUUCGAAGCAUGCUUGAAUCUUGUUCCACUCCCUUUUGGGAGUGACUUUGUUCCAAGAGGAAGUUUACUUCGAACAGCGCUGCUUGAUGAGCUUGCGUCGGAUUAGGUAGUUGGUAAGGAAAUGGCUUACCAAGCCAACGAUCCGUAGCCGGCCUUUUCGGGUGAUCGGCCACACUGGGACUGAGAUACGGCCUAGACUCCCACGGGAGGCAGCAGUGAGGAAUCUUGGACAAUGGGCGAAAGCCUGAUCCAGCAAUACCGAGUGGGUGAGACGAAGGCUAAUUAGGUCGUAAAGCCCUUUCGUCGAGAAGAGACAAUGACAAGACUCGAAAAAGAAGCCCCGUCUAACUCCGUGCCAGCAGACGCGGUAAUACGGGGGGGGCUAGUGUUAUUCAGAAUAAUUGGGCGUAAAGGGUACGUAGGCGGUCAGAUUGAGCUCAGACCUAAGCCAUAGGCUUAACCUAUGGACGGUCUUGCAGCUGUUCUGUCUUUGAGUUGGAUAGGGAAGAGUGGAAUUUCUAGUGGAGAGAUUAAAUUCAUAGAUAUUAGAAGGAAGGCCGGCGGCGAAGGCAACUCUUUAGAUCCAGACUGACGCUAAGGUACGAAAGCGUGGGGAGCAAACGGGAUUAGAUACCCCAGUAGUCCACGCCGUAAACGAUGAGUGCUCGCCUUUGGUCUUUCGAUCAGGGGCUUAGCAAACGCGAUAAGCACUCCGCCUGGGGAGUACGAUGGCAACAUUGAAACUCAAAGGAAUUGGCGGGGGCCUGCACAAGCGGUGGAACAUGUGGUUUAAUUCGAAACAACGCGCAAAACCUUACCAGCCCUUGACAUAGAGCACAGCGCCCUCUGAGAGGGGAGGCACUAUACAAUGCUUUACAGGUGCUGCAUGGCUGUCGUCAGCUCGUGUCGUGAGAUGUCGGGUUAAGUCCUAUAACGAGCGAAACCCUCGUCCCUAGUUGCAAAGUGCGGCUUGUUCAUCAAGCUGUUCACAGAACUCUAGGGAGACUGCCGGCGAUAUGCCGGAUGAAAGUGGGGAUAAAACAAAAGGCGCGAAAAGCAACUCCCACUAGGGAGGAAAGCGAAAAGCUCAAAAAAAGAGUUUUAGCCAGAGCAAUCAACUCUUUUUUUGAGCAAGGCCACGCGCCCUUACUUGACAUUGUCCCCGUGCAUGGUAACAUGCAAGAACAAAACUGGGUGAAUUGCAAAGACAACCUUCUACAGCUUUCUUAUAGUUGCUGAGAAGGUCAAUCUGCAGCGAAGCAUACCGAACGGAAAAGGCCUUAUGGUUCAUUUGUGAACCGUAGGCUUAUAGGAGUAGGUUUGAACGUUCAACGACUAGAGAGUGAGGAUAUCCUACCAAUAAACUCUCCACGAGCGCCCGGCAACUCUUACAAAAAACAACAUAGCAGAAACGGAAAGCUAAAUGAGAUCUUUUUUUCACCCUUCUUGUUCCUAAUACGCCCCGCCAUACAUACAGUAUACUCGCUUUCUUUUCAUUCAUAACGCAUGAUAUACAAAACACCACCCUGGAUCUUAGGUACAUUAUUAGGAGAUGGUCAUAUAGACCCCUUUGGUCGCCUCUUUAUUGAACAUUCAACCAAGCAAAAAGCAUACUUCUUUCAUAAAUUUUUCAAGCUGCAGCAUAUGAAGGAAUGAAAUAAAAAAAAAGUUUUGCCUGCAAAUUACAAAGGAAUUGAUAGGACACAAAUUCAUAGGAAAACAAAGAAGGCAUAUACAACUUUUUGUGUACGAUCACAGCGUGUGUUUCAAAUUGAGCGAAAAUCGUUUUAUCCCGAAAAAGAAAAAUGAAUAAAAUCAAAAAACACAUUUUUUUGGAUUCAAUGGGGGGCGGUCGCCCCACUCAUUCCUCUAGGCAUUGAACAAUGGCUCAAUGAAGAGGCACUGGCGUUUUGGUAUAUGGAUGAUGGCGGUCGUAAUAGUCAAUAUGGGGCUGGAAUGGUUUUUGAUCUUCUUUUUCAGAGAAUGACCGCGCUACUUUAGCACAAGUAUUGAACAAUCGAUUUGAUCUUGCAACGAGUUUUCAUAAUAGGGCUGAAAAGAACGUAAAGCUUUAUAUCCGUACUAGUAGUGCACAAAGAUUUUGUGAUCUUAUUAGACCAUUCGUUAUUCCAGAAAUGUUGUAUAAGCUUACUAAACCACUUCCGGCAGGAGGUGACUCCGUUCCACCGACAACGUAAGAGUUGAUGAAAUAGUCUGACCUUUGGGGUAACCUAAAGAAAUAAGAGAUAAAGAGCUCUUAGAAUAACAACAAAUGGACGUCAAGUCCUCAUGGCCUUUAUGGGCUGGGCUACACACGUGUUACAAUGGCAAGCACAGAGGGAAGCAAUGCCGCAAGGCGGAGCGAAUCCUUAAAUCUUGUCCCAGUCCGGAUUGCUCGCUGCAACUCGCGAGCAUGAAGUUGGAAUCGCUAGUAAUCGCGGAUCAGCACGCCGCGGUGAAUAUGUAACCGGGCCUUGCACACACCGCCUGUCACAUCCUGGGAAUUGGUUGUGUCUGAAUAAGGUUCAAACGUCAUUGAUUGAUAAGGCUUGCAAUGCUCUUGCUGAGCAAGGCUUGCACGCAAAGGCGGCUAGAUCUUACACGGCACGGUCAGUAACUGAGAUGAAGUCAUAACAAGGUGGCCGUAGGGGAACCUGCGGCCGGAAUGACCCUA